UGUCUUCUCAUCGCUGUCACUGAGUUUUCAGUGCCCCCAUACCAAGAUUCCCCCAAUCUUCUUCACCACUAAGCCUCUACUACCUGCAAGAAAGGCCACUUCACACUCUAAUCGAUCUACUCCACCCUCUUCACCGGUCUGCUCUUCCCUCGAUUCUUCCCUCCCCAUGGAAACCCCAUACCCUAAACCCAUAAACACCGCCCAAACCCGCGUUGGAUUUGUGGGAAUUGGUGUCAUGGGCGCCGCCAUGGCCUCUCGCAUCCUCGCCGCCGGGUACUUCCUCACCGUCUACGCCCGCAACCCUUCCAAAGCCCUUACACUGCAGUCCCAAGGCGCCCAAUUGGC
rnacentral:lncRNA from 1 species